CACAGAGGAGGUACGGCUGCACAGGCACGCACACGCGCACAGUCCUACAACUUCAACUGUGCGCGGCUCCGCACGCCGCUCCGUUUCAGAUAGAACGCAGUGCUCACACCGUAACACGCGUCCGACCAACCUACCUCCCUCAAGCAUAUACAGCCCGUCUUGUAUCCCUUUGCGCCCUCUCGCUCUCUGACCCUGCGUUCUCCUUUUGAGCCCCCCCCCUCCCACGCACGCACCACUACACCACUCCACACCAGUAAACCGUGAGCCAUGCAAGCCAUCACCGCCUCUACGCCGUCGCAGCAGUAUAGCGCCGGGGCAGGAAUAGAAAAGCCGCUCGGGGCCACGACAUCCGCGGACUGGAUGACCAUGUACGAGCAGAGGCCACAUGGAAACAGUACCCUUUUCGAGCUGGAGGCAAUGGUCGCCAAGCGCAUGGAGUUUCUCGCGUGGGUCGACCAGCAGAUCAACUCGCCUCAGGCAAAGAGCUUUGAUUCGGUGCUCGACGCGAUCAUCGCGCGUCUGCCGGAAGAACGGCGCUCGAGCGUGGCGACAGAUGCGUCGCGAGGGAAAAUGGUUUUGCUAGGUUAUGACGAGACGGCCGCCGGUGGCUGCUCGGAUAGGCGAUCCUCCUCACGUGGCUCUACUGGAAGCGCCGCUGGUUCCAGCCAAGCCGCUGGGAUUGUGUUCGCGCCGGAGGAGGAUGUCACAUCGCACCUGCUUUGCCGCUUCGCCUUCUGCAUGAGUGAGCACUGGCGGGACUGGUUGGUACGGACGGAGCGGGUGCUGCUGACGGCCCGCAUCAAGAUGGAGAUGGCGAAGAGACCCUUCACGUUUCUGGUCGAUUUGAUGAAGCGCAACGGACUUCCAUGCGCGCCGCUGACGGAUAAGCAGCUGGCUGACCCGAUGCUGCAGGAAUACCUCGAGUACCGCCGCGUGAAGGCGGAAAGCGCGCGCGAGUCGGAGGGGCGGGCGGAGAACUACUACGCCGUCCCUCUCUCCCUCGCCACCCGCCUGAUCAAGAAGCGGUACGUGCUGUGCCGUGCUGGUCAGACCAUUCUCUUCCGUGACCAGGUGCAAGAGGUCUUCCUGACGGUUUUCUGUGCCCGCCUGAAUCGCGGCCUGCACAAUGCCUACCUUGCUCGUGUCAAGCAGCAGGCGCUCGAGGAAGAGACCACAAAGUCCACCGUGAUGGCGAUGCUCGACGCCUUCCUGCAGCAGUUCAUCUCCGACCCGGUGGACACCUUGCAGGAGGGCGUCGCUGGCAGUGUGAAGGCCGGAGAUGUGCAGCGAUUGGCGCAGGCGCACUUUCCGCCUUGCAUGCGCGCCAUCGACUGGCAUCUGCGCCGCGAGGGGCACCUGAAGCACCACGGUCGCUUCAUGUACGGACUGUUCCUCAAAUCCAUCGGUCUUUCUCUUGAGGACUCACUGGAGCUGUUCGCCACGCUAAUGAAGGUCAAGGGCGGCGGUUCUGUCGAGGCCUUCGCGAAGACGGCGUACGGGUACAACGUGCGACACAACUACGGCAUGGAGGGCAAGAAGAUGAGCUACAGCUCCGCCUCCUGCGCGACGAUCCUUGGCCUGCCGCCGGUGGUGGACCAGCAUGACUGCCACGGCUGCCCAUUUCGUUUCCGCGACGAGGGAGCACUGCGGACGAUGCUUGGGAAGGAAACCCAAAACCCGAAGGGGUGCAACUAUCCCAGCGUGCGACCCACCCCAGGCGACAUCGAGGACAUCGUCUCCGACAGCAAGGCACAGCAUUACACGCGCGCAUGCUAUAAGUACUUCAUGGCCACCCACCCCGGCGCCCGCCGCGACACCCUCUUUCGGUCUCCAUACGAAUACUACAGCGUUAGCCUCGAGUUCGAGACGCCGAGCGACAGCACAGAGUCAGCGCGGCCCUCUGCAGUCCCCGGCAAGCGAACGUCUGUGGUGCUCAACGAAGACGUCCUGCGCCUCCGUACGUCUCCGUAGAGCGAAGAAGGUGGAGGCGAACGUGUAACGGAAGACAAGACACGAGUGUGCGCAAGUGAAAAGGAAGCGGGCAGGUACACAGAGAGACACACAUAGACGUCGACUCUUGUUGCGUCGUCAUCAUAGAGUGCAUUAGCGAGGCAGAGAGAAAGAGCGGCGCGAGAACUUGGUGCCUUGAUGGCCGCAUCCGCCCUGUAUUCUGGUAAUGCCCAUCUACGCCGACUGGAGAGGGAGGUGGGGGAAAGGAAAGGGCGAGGAGAAGGCCACUGGGCUGCGGCAGUGGCGGCUGGUGUUUGCGGGCUCGUGCAUAGUUGACUGUUCCCAUGCUUUGUCCCUUCGCCCUCGCCCCCCCACCCGUUAUUUCCGCCUCAUCAUCUCGCGUGCGGCGCUUUCUCGUCUGUCGUGGCGCGUAUCCUCCGCUUUACGCCACGGCUCCAUGAGCGUGGCUGUCCGCGUGGUGCGCUUCUUUGUUUUGGUUUGCUUCACGUGCCGUGCGGUACAAAGGCUGGACGGUGGGGUGUGAAUGGGGCCAAAAAACGCAAGGCUGGUGAAUAAGUGUUACCUUUCCCCGCCUUCUUCGCCCCUCCCCUCUCUCCGCGAGUGAUGCUGAUGUAUUGUCCUGUGUCUCUGUGUGUGACGGUUCGCACCCGUGUGCCAUCUUCCCGGCGCGGCAACGGGUACACACACGCACACACACACACACACACACACAGGUGCACGGGCGCAGACAUGAAGCGCACGCAGCAUCCACACGCAUACGAAAUUCUAUUCUGUUCGCG
rnacentral:misc_RNA from 1 species